GAUGAAACGCGGCGGCGCGCCUAACACAUGCAAGUCGAACGAUUAAAGCACCUUCGGGUGUGUAUAAAGUGGCGAACGGCUGAGUAACACGUGGGCAACCUGCCCCUCUCAUUGGGAUAGCCACGGGAAACCGUGGAUAAUACCGAAUACUUCGAGACUUCCGCAUGGAAGACUCGAGAAAGCUCCGGCGGAGAGGGAUGGGCCCGCGGCCUGUUAGCUUGUUGGUGGGGUAAUGGCCUACCAAGGCAAUGAUGGGUAGCUGGGUUGAGAGACCGACCAGCCAGAUUGGGACUGAGACACGGCCCAGACUCCUACGGGAGGCAGCAGUGGGGAAUCUUGCACAAUGGGCGAAAGCCUGAUGCAGCGACGCCGCGUGCGGGAUGAAGGCCUUCGGGUUGUAAACCGCUUUCAGCAGGGACGAGGCGAAAGUGACGGUACCUGCAGAAGAAGCCCCGGCUAACUACGUGCCAGCAGCCGCGGUAAUACGUAGGGGGCAAGCGUUAUCCGGAUUCAUUGGGCGUAAAGCGCUCGUAGGCGGUCUGUUAGGUCGGGAGUUAAAUCCGGGGGCUCAACCCCCGCUCGCUCCCGAUACCGGCAGACUUGAGUUUGGUAGGGGAAGGUGGAAUUCCUAGUGUAGCGGUGGAAUGCGCAGAUAUUAGGAAGAACACCAGUGGCGAAGGCGGCCUUCUGGGCCAUAACUGACGCUGAGGAGCGAAAGCUAGGGGAGCAAACAGG
rnacentral:rRNA from 1 species